rnacentral:lncRNA from 1 species
AAAAGCCCUUUUCAUAAGCGCUUAAAGAACUGAAAAAUAACUAAUAAGUUAAUCAGUUUAGCACUUUAUCCAGAAGUCCAACAUGAAUACUCAAAAAAGCAUUUCGAAAAUGGCUUAAAACAGUAACACAUUUAUAAAAAUGAAAUCCACAAUAACCGGGAAUGAAAAGGCAUAAUAAACAGAGUUUUUUUUUAGGCUUAAAAAAUUCAUCUGUGAAAAGAUCAUCAGAUAUAAGAUAACGCAGCAGAAAAAUCCAGAAAGGAACUUUAUUCAAAAAAAACUCAAGUUUUCAAAAAAUCUAAGAGAGUUUUCUCGUUGAAACUCUGGCCUAGGUGAGGUUAGAUCCUCCUACCUCUUCAAAAGCGCAACAGUAUUAGAGGAGAGAAGAAAAGUGUUGAUUUACCUGAAAGCCCUACUGGACGGUAAAACCCCUUGCCUCUCAUUUUUAAAAAGAACUUGCAUAAUAUUCAUUUAUACUGGAUUUCGCACUGUCUAUCUCGUUUGCUCGCUCCUGGGUGUUUGUCGUUUGAACUCCGGUUUGAGCGAACCCCUUAGCAUUUCGUUCUUUGGAAUCCUCGAUUCGGACUUCGAUCCUUCCUCGCUUGAUCUUUCUUGGUUGUUCUUCGUACUCGUUGGCUCAGGGCGAAUCGGUUUUGUGUUAAGGGUUUAGGGAUUUUUAGAGGUUGGAUUCGAACUCGAAAGGGGGUAUUUAGAGGAUUAAGUUGUGUUUUGAGGAGGGUGGUCGGAGAAGAAGGGAGGCUCCACGUAAGCCAUCGCCUUCGGCGGUCUUCUCCGGGAGGAAAGAAACUUUUUAGGGUUUGCUAAGUUUUGGAACGACUGAAAACUGCAGAGAGAGAAAAGCUAUUGAGAAAGCAACGAUGCCUUUUCCUUUUUCUGUUUUAAGUUUAAC